rnacentral:rRNA from 1 species
AUUGAACGCUGGCGGCAGGCUUAACACAUGCAAGUCGAGCGGGGUGAGGUGCUUCGGUACUGAUCCUAGCGGCGGACGGGUGAGUAAUGCUUAGGAAUCUGCCAUUUAGUGGGGGACAACAUUCCGAAAGGGAUGCUAAUACCGCAUACGUCCUACGGGAGAAAGCAGGGGAUCUUCGGACCUUGCGCUAAAUGAUGAGCCUAAGUCGGAUUAGCUAGUUGGUGGGGUAAAGGCCUACCAAGGCGACGAUCUGUAGCGGGUCUGAGAGGAUGGUCCGCCACACUGGGACUGAGACACGGCCCAGACUCCUACGGGAGGCAGCAGUGGGGAAUAUUGGACAAUGGGCGGAAGCCUGAUCCAGCCAUGCCGCGUGUGUGAAGAAGGCCUUUUGGUUGUAAAGCACUUUAAGCGAGGAGGAGGCUACCUGGAUUAAUACUCUGGGAUAGUGGACGUUACUCGCAGAAUAAGCACCGGCUAACUCUGUGCCAGCCGCCGCAGUAACAC